UGCUGAUGUACCUCAUAGUUGGGCUGUACCUUCUUCAGGUGUCAAAUGUGAUGCUGUACCAGGUCGUUCAAAUAAUACCUCUAUUUUUAUACAACGAGAAGGAGUUUACUAUGGUCAGUGCAGUGAGAUUCGUGGAACUAAUCAUGCCUUUACGCGUGCGCCCGGAUACAUAGGCCGACAGCUGAGCCCACUCUGGCUUAGCCGCACCACCCGUGGUAGGGGUGCGAGCCACCCGAUAAGCAAGCUAUUACAGCGAGCCGCUUGAGCAGUAGGGAGCCGAGGAGCAAGGCAGUAGAUAAGAUCUAAUAUUGGGCCAGGCUCCCGGUAGAGCAGGGGAAACGGUUAGGAUAACCAACUUGAAACGCGGAGCCCGAGCGGCCGGCGAGCGAGUGGUUAGUGGCAAAUAGCGCCCUAGUUGAUGGCAUUCCUCUCUGCGGCUGGCACUAGAGGAACCACGGGACACUCCAUACAAAGGCAAACUCGUCUUAGGGAUGAGACGCCCGCGCAAGGACCUCAAUUCUCAUUAGGAGGUCGAACCAAGGAACUAUAGAAGUCGGGGAUACCCCGUCCCAUGGCAACGCAACAGUGUCCUGAGGAAGGAGUUUAGAGGCCUUAUAGUAGCACAGACCUUUAAUUCCAGGUCAUGCGAAGGGGGCCAGUCCAAGAUCUACAACUCUUCUUAUUAAAUGAAAAGACAAGAGACGCUCUCAACGGUUAGGCGCCACUCUAAGUUAUUCUCAAGCUUCCGAGAGGCGAAGGGAUUUCACCUAUGAUCUGAUUAGUAGGCAACCAACGUGUACUUUUCGUGUUGUUGACGUUGACUUUCAAGCUCAUUUGGAAGGAUUCUCGGAGCUACUCCCAGCUCAAACUAUGGUCGCAGAGGUCUCUUAGUUCAGAUCUAGGAGUGUGAGCAGUACGAGCGGAAAGGCUCUCAUACUGUUUUGAGGGAAGGGGGCUACGAUGCCAAACCUUACCCCUAUCCAUCGUCGUAGAAGCAGUUUCUUUGAAAGAUUAUGGUUCUCGGGUAUUCAAUCAAUUAAUCCUCCAAACCAACUAACCCGUGGAAGCGGAAGCAAUAGUAGGGUGAGGGAAGUGGGAAGCUCAAGGAAGGCUUCGCUCGCUCAAUUCGCUCGGUGGAGUGCAUAAGCCCUAUUUCUUUUAUUGAAGUAGUAGAGGCCUAACUACACGAGCUCGUAAGUCAGGAACGAGUCUUGUAUACGAACAGCUUCCCCUAGUCUUCUGUGCUUCUGGCGAAGCUUAACGCACUAUUCUAAUAUAGGCAUUAGAGGCUAACUCCUUUUAAGGCCGACCACUACAUAGGAGCGAUAGCGAAGCCAAGCCGUAUAAAGGCGAGCAGCCCUUAUAGCAAUAGCAAACGGCCUACUUAUAGCCCUAUUUCGUUUUAGCCUUUCCUUUCUUCAGGGACUUCAACUUACAAGCUCAUAAAUGUCAAUUCAUAAAUCCAGAGACCUGAGCUAGUGACCAAGAAAGACCCAAAUCCAAUAGAUCAAGAACGGCGAACCUACUUUCAUCAAAGAAUUCAUUGAAGACGUUAAUAAGGAUUUCGUGGAUGGAUAGAAGCACUAGCUACUCAAAUCGCUUCUAUAUACUUCUUUCUUAUUAAUGGCAGGAUAUCAAUCUAUCGAAUUCUAGGCCCAGAGCGAGCAGCAAUGGCAAAAGAUGGAGGAGAAUGUUGUGUUGUAUGGGAGGCAAGGCAGGAUAGGAUCUCUUUUAACAGCAAAAAGCUCGAAGCGAAAGAGGGCCGAUCCUACAUUCCAAAUAAUGAAGCGAAAGAGGGCCGAUCCUACAUUCCAAAUAAUAGCAUUCGCAGUGGGAAUCAAUAAGAGAGAGAGCUAUUUGCAUUCACAGACAGUAGGAAUCAAUAUUGGAAUUCGCGCCUCACCUUUCUUUCUUUGUGAAGAUUCGGGGUGGAGCCUUAGAACAGGCCAGGCCCCUUGGGACGGUUAGGAGCAUAAUGUCUUAACCACUAAUACCGCUUGGAGACAAACCAACCCAUAGGAAUCUGAUGCCUCUUUCAAUUGAUGCUCUUUAGUUCUGCUUUCUAUUCAUUCUCUUUUGUGCAAUUAUUCAGAAUGAUCGGCUAAUAGCAUAGCACUACGAUGAACUACGAGACGAGCAAAUAGCACUCUUCAUUAUAUACUUACUCGGAACUACGAGCAAAUUGCACUCCUCUUACGAGCCACUCCCUAAAGUAAUAGUAAUCUAAGCUCACUCCUCUUACGAGCCACUCCUCUUACGAGCAAAUAGCACUCCUCAUUAUAUACUUACUCGGAACUACGAGAAUAUUCCAUUCAUUCUAAAAACAUUUCUAGUAACUGACUGAAAAGGACUUAUGCAUCAGUCUUAUUCGCUCUGCUAGACAAAAAGCAGAAAUAUUACUAAAUCAAACGAGUCCUUCCUUAAAGAAUAAGGAUCCGGGGGUUUCCUAUUGGUCAAAUACUAGAGGCUGACUCGGGGAAUUAGGAUAACCCUCUUUGCUUUCGAUAAAGGGGCUUCUUUCUUUUCUUUCUCGAUCUUAUUACGCUUUCACAACGAAAGGAAAAGGAAGAGCACUAUGUCUUCAUUCUUCCAAUGCUCACCACUGAUAUGAUAUGCCCUGGAAAAAAGCUUGAUAGAAAGAUUCCAUUCUCGAUAGAGCAAGCUGAGGAACACCUGCACGUACGAAAGGAACCAAGACUCGGGUUUUCUUGUUUCAUAGCUAUAGAAUUCCAUUAAGGUUCUCGUUAGAUGGUCUAAUGGAUAGGACAGAGGUAUAAUAGUUCUUUGCUCUCUAUUCUUAGAAAGAAGGAGUUAUAGUUCCAGUUCAAGCACUCCAGAAAGAAGCAACGGAGAAAGAAGGAAGGAUACAUCGUGUCAACAAUCAGAAUUGCACUAAGUAGCAUGGGAAUCAAAGACAGUAAUUUCAGAGUGGAAACCCAGAGGAUAGGAAUGUAACCACUGCAGACUUUGACUAAUGUUUCCGAAACUUGAACUCGUAUUGGUAAGGCUUGAAUGGCUAACACCAAUGGAAAGAACCAAACUGGUAAGUAGGAGAAUGAAAUCACCACUAAUGAAUGAGAGAACUACUAAUAAGAGUGGAACAGGGGCAUGAAACCAAUGCAAGUAAGAGUCCAACAGCUAACGAUUAUCCUAGCACUACUAGCCUCGAACCUUGCUCUAAUAGCUUUAGUUCUUGAACCACUACCUUUGGAUCUUGCUCUGCUGACGCUGCCCUUGCUUUAUUGAAGUCCUCCGAUCCGCUCUUGAUGGCUGUUACUCUACCCUCAAUGCCUAUGUUCUAGGUUCCAACUGAACUGCCCUUUGAAUAAAUAAAAGAAUCAAGAAAGAAACUACCGAUAAAAAGAAUAACCUUCCUUCCUAUUGGUCAGUAUCCAUUGAUCCGGAUCCUUGCUUCCACAGAUCAGUACACCUAUAUCCCCUAACAAAGUCUACCGCUACUAUCUCUAAUACCUUAACAAGCAACAGGGAAUUCACCAGUGCCCAAUCAGACUGAAAUACAGAAUACACAGUAUACCAAUAUGAAACUACAAUAUCAAUAGUAGAAAUCGAUAAUGAAAUGGGUACUAUAAGCAUGGAGCAGUGUCUACAAGCUGUGAAACAAGAAAGAAGGGAAUUUCGCUACCGGUAUCGAGGUUCGAGCCCAUAAUAGAGAGAAUGAAAGGAGUUCGAAUUUAAAGAAUACAAAUAAGAAGUAAGGUACGCCCCAGUGCUUCUAGUAUGAAGGGAACAUUUAGGGUACGACCAGUGAGUGCAUAUAGAUUAAGCGGAAGUAGUAGAUCAUAGAAUCCAAACUCA
rnacentral:lncRNA from 1 species